rnacentral:lncRNA from 1 species
GUGUUGAAGUGAGCCACGAAAGAAUAUUCUAACUGCCCAAAGGAGUAUAUGCUUUCCGACUGAAGCCCGAAGUAUCAGAUUCGAGCAGCUUUCUAAAGAGUUGUCAGAAAAUCGAUACAUAAGAGGGCGUCGGUUGCCCCUUGAAUUGUCAUGAGAGCCUUGUAGCUCUCAAGAUGGUCAAUUGGAUCGGUGGAACCGUCAUAUGGUUCUACUUGCGGC